GCUAAGCAUUAAUAUAUUUGAUUCACCGAUUUGAUUUUAUUUCUUUAAUUUUAUUUUGCAAUUGUUUUUAUUUUAUUUUAAUUUACUUUAUAUUUGUUUAUUUUAUUUUCUUUAUCAACUAAACCUCAUUUUUUAUUUAUUUUACAGCUUUGCACGCACAAGGCGAGGGCACAACAACUGUCUAGACUCAAAAAUAUGGUCGCAUAAAUAGGAAAAUUAAGAAUCUCAGUCCCUGUAGAAUCAACCCUACUACUCUAUACUACUAUUUUAUUAAG
rnacentral:lncRNA from 1 species